rnacentral:rRNA from 1 species
UACGAAGGUGGCAAGCGUUGUUCGGAUUUACUGGGCGUACAGGGAGCGUAGGCGGUUGGGUAAGCCCUCCGUGAAAUCUCCGGGCCUAACCCGGAAAGGGCGGAGGGGACUGCUCGGCUAGAGGAUGGGAGAGGAGCGCGGAAUUCCCGGUGUAGCGGUGAAAUGCGUAGAUAUCUGGAGGAAUACCGGUGGCGAAGGCGGCAUCCUGGACCAUUACUGACGCUGAGGCGCGAAAGCUAGGGGAGCAAACGGGG